UACAGAGGGGGCUAGCGUUAUUCGGAAUUAUUGGGCGUAAAGAGCGCGUAGGCGGUCCGAUAAGUCGGCUGUGAAAGUCAAGGGCUCAACCCUUGAAAGCCGGCCGAUACUGUCGGACUAGAGUCCGGAAGAGGCAAGUGGAAUUCCCGGUGUAGCGGUGAAAUGCGCAGAUAUCAGGAGGAACACCGUAGUCGGAAGGCAGGUCUCUGGGCAUUAACUGACGCUGAGGAGCGAAAGCAUGGGGAGCGAACAGG
rnacentral:rRNA from 1 species